GGAUAACUCCGGGAAACCGGGGCUAAUACCGGAUGCUUGUUUGAACCGCAUGGUUCAAAUAUAAAAGGUGGCUUCGGCUACCACUUACAGAUGGACCCGCGGCGCAUUAGCUAGUUGGUGAGGUAACGGCUCACCAAGGCAACGAUGCGUAGCCGACCUGAGAGGGUGAUCGGCCACACUGGGACUGAGACACGGCCCAGACUCCUACGGGAGGCAGCAGUAGGGAAUCUUCCGCAAUGGACGAAAGUCUGACGGAGCAACGCCGCGUGAGUGAUGAAGGUUUUCGGAUCGUAAAGCUCUGUUGUUAGGGAAGAACAAGUACCGUUCGAAUAGGGCGGUACCUUGACGGUACCUAACCAGAAAGCCACGGCUAACUACGUGCCAGCAGCCGCGGUAAUACGUAGGUGGCAAGCGUUGUCCGGAAUUAUUGGGCGUAAAGGGCUCGCAGGCGGUUUCUUAAGUCUGAUGUGAAAGCCCCCGGCUCAACCGGGGAGGGUCAUUGGAAACUGGGGAACUUGAGUGCAGAAGAGGAGAGUGGAAUUCCACGUGUAGCGGUGAAAUGCGUAGAGAUGUGGAGGAACACCAGUGGCGAAGGCGACUCUCUGGUCUGUAACUGACGCUGAGGAGCGAAAGCGUGGGGAGCGAACAGGAUUAGAUACCCUGGUAGUCCACGCCGUAAACGAUGAGUGCUAAGUGUUAGGGGGUUUCCGCCCCUUAGUGCUGCAGCUAACGCAUUAAGCACUCCGCCUGGGGAGUACGGUCGCAAGACUGAAACUCAAAGGAAUUGACGGGGGCCCGCACAAGCGGUGGAGCAUGUGGUUUAAUUCGAAGCAACGCGAAGAACCUUACCAGGUCUUGACAUCCUCUGACAAUCCUAGAGAUAGGACGUCCCCUUCGGGGGCAGAGUGACAGGUGGUGCAUGGUUGUCGUCAGCUCGUGUCGUGAGAUGUUGGGUUAAGUCCCGCAACGAGCGCAACCCUUGAUCUUAGUUGCCAGCAUUCAGUUGGGCACUCUAAGGUGACUGCCGGUGACAAACCGGAGGAAGGUGGGGAUGACGUCAAAUCAUCAUGCCCCUUAUGACCUGGGCUACACACGUGCUACAAUGGACAGAACAAAGGGCAGCGAAACCGCGAGGUUAAGCCAAUCCCACAAAUCUGUUCUCAGUUCG
rnacentral:rRNA from 2 species